CCGCGUUGUUGGUCGAUGCCGCGGCGGCGGCUUCAUACGCCGUCAGCGCCGUGUUCAGGUCGCCGUAUCGCUGU
rnacentral:tRNA from 1 species